CUGGUUUUGUUCUUCAGGAAAUGGAUUCUGCUAGUGAAAGCACCAGGAAAAGCACUGCGUUACUUCCUAUAGAAACACCCAAAAUGCACGUGGACAUUGGCCCGUUCCUGGAUAUCUGUCUUGCAUCAAACCGCCCAUCGACAGGAGAGGCUUCUUUCAAUAAAAUAAAUGAGAUGAAGGACAGUGUCUCCUCACUGAAGUUCAUCACCAGCAUACUCCUUCAAGCUGAGCUGCACAUUCAAGCAUAUUCAGAAACGAUCAUCAACAUUUUGCCACAGAAAUGUCAGCCAGGCUCUGUGUUCCAUCAGACAGCAAGGAUGGUCAUGUCCAUGACACCGGCUUUGAAUGUGCUCAUGAUUUUGGUCUUCUGAUGAAUUUUAUCCACAUGUAAAGUAUUUGCAUCAGGAGGGCUUGUAUUUGUCAUAAUCCAUGUGUUUGUCCAUUUUUGAUUAGAGACACUAAAGAAAAAAUUAGAAGAAUCAGAAGAAUGCUUUCUUCCUCCCAUCGUAAUAACUGGAACCUGAAGGCAAGUGUCAGAGAGCUGCAAAAAAGCUGCAUGAAAAUGUGUGAAGAGAGAGAUGCACUUGACUUGAUGCUGGAGGAGAGAGAGAACAGAAUAAAAAGUGCCGAUCUGGAGCAGGAGGAAUUUAAGAAGACAUUUCAAGAGAAAGAGAUGGCUCUACAGCAGAGAGUACCAAGCAAGACUGUGUUAAGGGAGACCAAAUAUGACAUCUAAAUAAGGUAACCAUGGCAAUGGGAGAGUGAGGCUUCAUGAACUCCAUUAUAGGUGGGACUACCGUGUGCUGUUAGUCAUUGACAUUGAUAUGAACCAAUCUAUCAAGUUUGGUCUCCAUAGCAGACCACUUUGACUGGAUCAAUUGUAUCAACUGUUAAUAACUCAUAAUAACUCCACCCAUUUCGGGGCCUGUGUCUUAUUCCAAGUAGCAGUCAUUGGAGAGAAAAGGGAAUAAUAUUGAUGCUAAUUUUAGAAGUAACUGAAUCUGAGUUAACAAUGGACAGACACUUAACAGAAAGCUUAAAUUGUAUUUGAAUGAUGAAGCUUUUGAUUAUUUUUUAACGUGCUGGAAUCCUGUACAGGAUAGAUGAGUGUCACAUGGUGCACACCUCCAUGUGCUGUGAACCGGUUUAUAAAAAGCACCCAAGUUACUGCUGGCUCCAGCACAGUGUAAGACUGAAGCUGGUGUGCUUCGUGCUGCAGGAAGCUGGGGCAGCUUGAGCAGCACUGGAGAGAAAAGCUGAAAAGAGUGAUGGAGGAGAGGAGCGAGCACGAGCAGUGUGUGAAGAAGGAGAUCCAGGCUCUGCUCCUUAAGCUGUUCAAGACUGAGCAGCUGCACCAGACCCAGAUAUGUGACUAUGAGGUCAAGUACAGGGACUCACUAAAACUAGUGUCUGAGCUGCAUUGUCAAAUCGAGGAGCGUGAGGU